rnacentral:lncRNA from 1 species
CUCAGUCAGUGCAGCUCUGCCAUUGACCAUGGAAAGGCCCUAUUCCCCAGCACUUAAGGGCAUCUGUUUUUCCUAGCAGCUUCCUAAGAUUUCUUCUUAUGGCACAUGAGGGGAAGAUUCCUAACUUGGAGGAGCAACCGGUUUGGUUUGGCUUUUCUUUAAGGAGCGUCUCCAGCCCACAUUGAUUGCCUGUGGAAUGCUUGUCUCCGUACUGGUGGGCUUCAAGAUAAGAAUCGGUUUUCAGAGUGUCCAAAAUACAGCCGUGCCCUGCAGCAGCACCCUAGCAACACAGCAUGAUAUAAGGCUCUUUGAAUGCUUCAGGGUGAUUCUAGUCCUGCCAGCUGGUCGAGGCAUCUCAGAUGGUUACUACCUUUGGCACCAGGCAACCCUGAGAGAGUCAGAAGAGCCAUCACUCCAGUACCCAAGCAGCAAAUGAGCCUGUGUUCCAGAUUUAAAAAUGCUUUUAAAGGAAAGAAGGGCAAGCCCCUGCAGAGUCAGCAGCAGAACAAAAUCAGAGUGCCCAUACCCCAGCUGCUGUCAUCCAAAGUGCUGGCAUGCUGGAAGUCAGCACUACUUGCACCACAGGACAGAGACAAGGAUGUUAAAUUGAACUGUUAUACGCCCAGAGAUCAACAGACUGCCUUUCACUGGGUGAUCUUUUUAUCAAGACAAAGGAAAAACAGUAUCUUUCAUCUGUCUGGAAUUUAUUAAAGCAUCUACAACAUAACCACAUGGAACAAUGAAGGAACUGACCAGCAGGAAGACAGCAACAGGAAACGUUGGAAGGGGAAGUAUUGGUGGUGAAGCAGGAUGACUACCAGAGCUUCUAAAGUAGAGGUGGGCAAAAUCCAGCUUGCAGGCUGGAUCCGGCCUGCAGAGGGAUUUUUGCCCAGCCCACAAUGCAGUGGCCAGAGACUAUUUCCUGGCAGCCUUAGUAGCAGCAACUCCUAUGACUGCCACUGCUGGACCUGGCCCCACCGAGCACACCGCCUCAUAGAUACUGACUUUUAUUUUUGCCAGGUGGAGGCCUAAGAUGAUGCCACCUUGCACCCUUGUGGCAUGGCUGAAGCAGAGCCAAACGGAGCCUGUGGGGGUUGGAUACAGACUGCGGGCUUGGGGCUUCCCACCCUGCUGCUCUUCCCCUCGGAGCCCCAGGCUGGCCAUGCCACCAUGGUGAGGUGCCCCCUGCCCACCCAACUGCAGUGGGGGGCACAACUCUGCCCCACAGCUUCUGGGUGGGCAAGGGGCGUCUUGCCACGGGAGUGAAAAUGGUGUGGGGCUCCCAGUGGAGGGGAGCAACCUGCAUCUGCCUCUCCCCUAUGCACAAAUCUGUGCCCCCUGCCUCUGCAUGUCCUCUUCCCCGGAGUGUGUGCGGCAGCAGGUAGCCUCCCCACACCCUCUGCCCCUCUUGAUGAGCCACCUGUGGCUCUGUCUUGUUCCCCACCCCAGCCCCAAUCCCCAUGUACCGCCCUGGGUGGGCAGCUCCCCCAGGCUCAGCCCCUCCCACUCUCUCCCUCACCAUGGGGCCCUCAAUCUGCCCCCUCCCAUAGAUUUACCUGCAGGCAGCUGGGGGAACUGAGGCUCUCCACCACUGCCUGGGGCCAUAUUUCUGGCCCCAUGCAGCAUGGAGCCAGGGCACAGGGAAGAGCUGCAAUCUGCUGCCCACACACCCCUAUGACAGGAACUGGUUUUGCAGUCAGAGACAUGCAGGGAACAGAUCGCGCCCCUGACCCCAGCCUCGGGCUGUCACUAUCCCAAAAUCCAAGCCCCGCCCACCCACUCAACCCACCUGAGCAACUUCUAGCUCUCCUCCAUGGCUAUCCACCUUUAGACACACAAGCAGACUGCAGACUUUAGUUCGGGAAUAUUUUAUUACCAUCUCUGCUGCUUUUGUAUCAUACAUUUAAAAAAUAAAUAACUGUAAAUAAGUUAGUAGAGGACUACA